rnacentral:rRNA from 1 species
UGGGGAAUCUUGCGCAAUGGGCGAAAGCCUGACGCAGCAACGCCGCGUGGAGGACGAAGGCUUUCUGAGUUGUAAACUCCUUUCAGCAGGGACGAUAGUGACGGUACCUGCAGAAGAAGCACCGGCCAACUACGUGCCAGCAGCCGCGGUGAUACGUAGGGUGCAAGCGUUGUCCGGAUUUAUUGGGCGUAAAGAGCUCGUAGGCGGUUUGAUAAGUCGGGUGUGAAACCUCCAGGCUCAACCUGGAGCCGCCACUCGAUACUGUCAUGACUAGAAUUCGGUAGGGGACCACGGAAUUCCUGGUGUAGCGGUGAAAUGCGCAGAUAUCAGGAGGAACACCAGCAGCGAAGGCGGUGGUCUGGGCCGACAUUGACGCUGAGGAGCGAAAGCGUGGGGAGCGAACAGGAUUAGAUACCCCCGUAGUCC